rnacentral:rRNA from 1 species
CACGUAGGGGGCAAGCGUUGUCCGGAUUUAUUGGGCGUAAAGAGCUCGUAGGCGGUUCGGCAAGUCGGGUGUGAAACCCCCCAGGCUCAACCUGGGGACGCCACCCGAUACUGCUGUGACUGGAGUCCGGUAGGGGAGCGUGGAAUUCCUGGUGUAGCGGUGAAAUGCGCAGAUAUCAGGAGGAACACCAGCGGCGAAGGCAGCUCGCUGGGACGGUACUGACGCUGAGACGCGAAAGCGUGGGGAGCGAACAGG